GCGACUUCAGGUCUCCGCUGCUCUAGCGGUGCGCUGGGACGCCUGGAACUCGGAGUCGCGCAGCUGCGUAGGGAAGCAACGUGCCGCGCGGUGCGAGCCAGGCACACGGGGCCUGCGGACGCGGAUGCUUUUCUGAAUUUCAUAAGGAACAUCAGAGGCCACUAAUCUCCUCAAAGACGAUUGCAAAGCUCCCUCUGGACUGUGGGCACAUGGAAGCAAUUACCAUGAUUUAUAGGAGAGGCGAGCUUUGGGGAAGAGGAAACCUGCUGUUCCACAUGUGCCUGCGAGUCCAAUCCAAGAGGCAACUUUGGGCUUUUGUUGUUGCUGCUGCUUAAAUUUCUAACUGUUAAUAUUGUAUAGCAAGAUACAGAAUUUGUGAAUUUAUCUCAGGAACAUCUCAUCCUGUCUGUCUCUACACAGAAGACCUAUAGGAAUAUAUUACUUAGAACAUGCAGAAGGGUGGCUAUGUGUUGACCUCACAAAGCAGCUAUGGCCAUCCUGCAAGUUGGAUAUCAAGUCCUGACUAUGGAGCUUACUACUGAGAUAACAAAGAAUGGAAGGAAGUCAUAGGCUUAGCACUCGGUGCCAGCACUGUUCUUACUGUAUAUGGACAUCAUCCCAUUCAUCCGUCAUAAUAAUACUAAUGGGGUGUAUCAUUUGUGUCAUUUGACUUUUUAUUCAUUCCUUCAAUAAAUAUUGUCACUUUA